rnacentral:lncRNA from 1 species
UGAGAAGAGACUGUUGAGUUCCUAGCCUCGUAGGAUCGCUCUGUCAUCCCCUUUCAAGGCUGAAGGACUAUCACGGAAAAGAGGGUGGAAACAACAUAAGAGCUAGAGGAAGAAGCUGUCGAACCCUGUAUUCUGGGUAUGCUGUGUCCACAGCAGUCAUCGAGUGGGGAGUGACUAGAAUGAAGCUCUCCAUGACAGGGAAGGAAGCCAUACUAUAAAGGCUCCCACAGCACAGAAGGAAAGAAGGGAACGCUCUGGGGCCAUCAGGAUCUCCCUUCUCUUCCAGAUCGGUUACCAGUUACCCUCAAGCAACAUACUUGUGCUAAAGGAAAGCCAUGAGGAAAAGCAGCCUUCCUUAGAGAAGAAUCAGAGUUCUCUGAUGUGAUUGGGUACUGCUCCUUAUUAGACAUGCUUACCCCACUGCAUAUGCUGUGACUCACCUCUCCCUGAGGAUUGUUCCCUACUGGGCAUGUUCCCAUCCAGCCCUCCAGGCUGGCUUUGCAUUGGUUUUCCCCACAGGUGUUCUCUUGGCACUGUUAACUGCUGGCUGUUUCCCCUAU